UCCUUUUGAAAAUCCAUACUGUCAUGCCUAUUCCCCAAAUACGUAACAUCGAAAAUUCGUUGGUCGAAAAUACAGAAUGAUUAACAAAACGAAUCGGCAUCACUUUUUCUUCAACGAUGAACUGCCAUCUCACACCAAAACAACCGGAUCAUAUAACUGGUGAGUAUAGAAUCUUUUUCUGAUUUUCAUUUUAUUUUAUUUUUCAGUUUGGAGUUUGUGGAAUAGAUAGGUUUUUACUUUAUGAAUCUGGAACGAACGGAUUGCUACCGGCGGCAUUUCUGAACGCAAUUGGGUCCAACACGGAAGCUAAACUAGUUCAUAUGCAUACGGACUACGUUGCCCAGAAGCAGGCACAACAAGCAAUGAAUUUCGAUACGGAACAACUGAGCAGAUGCAUAUCAGUGAAAGUUUAUUCCGUUCUGAGACAUUUCUACCAACGAAGUAAGGACACGAACGGUAUUGAAUUGAAUGAUGCUAAGCCAGAUCAACAGUGUGGGGAGACUGACGGUGUAGAUUCGCCACAGGUGGAAAUUAAUCACAAACGCAAGAUGUGACAUUAUCAGAUUCUCCCAAAGUGGUUUCUUACCAGCUAUGAAUACACCCGUUCGGAUGAUGUGGCUUUUUUGCUUCCAUCAACUGCAGUCAACAGCAUCGGCUUUCCCGUAGCAGUAUCCUUCAAGCCAUGGUGGCUGUUCCAGGGGACAACAUCAACAGCAGCAGCAUCUGGACCUGACCAUCGAUAGUGUUUCGAGCAACUUUCCAUAUCGGAGAUCUCGUGCUUCGCGCACAUUGAAGAAACCUCCUCAGCCACAUAUGUGUGUCAAGGAGAAAAAGGAGCUGGAUUCGAAUCGUCAAUCCAGACAACCCGAAUGCACCGAUUGCAUUAUAUAUCUUGUUUAUAUUUUAUAUGCAUUUU